rnacentral:rRNA from 1 species
GACGAACGCUGGCGGCGUGCUUAACACAUGCAAGUCGAACGGAAAGGCCCUGCUUUUGUGGGGUGCUCGAGUGGCGAACGGGUGAGUAACACGUGAGUAACCUGCCCUUGACUUUGGGAUAACUUCAGGAAACUGGGGCUAAUACCGGAUAGGAGCUCCUGCUGCAUGGUGGGGGUUGGAAAGUUUCGGCGGUUGGGGAUGGACUCGCGGCUUAUCAGCUUGUUGGUGGGGUAGUGGCUUACCAAGGCUUUGACGGGUAGCCGGCCUGAGAGGGUGACCGGCCACAUUGGGACUGAGAUACGGCCCAGACUCCUACGGGAGGCAGCAGUGGGGAAUAUUGCACAAUGGGCGGAAGCCUGAUGCAGCAACGCCGCGUGCGGGAUGACGGCCUUCGGGUUGUAAACCGCUUUCGCCUGUGACGAAGCGUGAGUGACGGUAAUGGGUAAAGAAGCACCGGCUAACUACGUGCCAGCAGCCGCGGUGAUACGUAGGGUGCGAGCGUUGUCCGGAUUUAUUGGGCGUAAAGGGCUCGUAGGUGGUUGAUCGCGUCGGAAGUGUAAUCUUGGGGCUUAACCCUGAGCGUGCUUUCGAUACGGGUUGACUUGAGGAAGGUAGGGGAGAAUGGAAUUCCUGGUGGAGCGGUGGAAUGCGCAGAUAUCAGGAGGAACGCCAGUGGCGAAGGCGGUUCUCUGGGCCUUUCCUGACGCUGAGGAGCGAAAGCGUGGGGAGCGAACAGGCUUAGAUACCCUGGUAGUCCACGCUGUAAACGGUGGGUACUAGGUGUGGGGUCCAUUCCACGGGUUCCGUGCCGUAGCUAACGCUUUAAGUACCCCGCCUGGGGAGUACGGCCGCAAGGCUAAAACUCAAAGGAAUUGACGGGGCCCCGCACAAGCGGCGGAGCAUGCGGAUUAAUUCGAUGCAACGCGUAGAACCUUACCUGGGUUUGACAUGGAUCGGGAGUGCUCAGAGAUGGGUGUGCCUCUUUUGGGGUCGGUUCACAGGUGGUGCAUGGCUGUCGUCAGCUCGUGUCGUGAGAUGUUGGGUUAAGUCCCGCAACGAGCGCAACCCUUGUUCACUGUUGCCAGCACGUUAUGGUGGGGACUCAGUGGAGACCGCCGAGGUCAACUCGGAGGAAGGUGGGGAUGACGUCAAGUCAUCAUGCCCCUUAUGUCCAGGGCUUCACGCAUGCUACAAUGGCUGGUACAGAGAGUGGCGAGCCUGUGAGGGUGAGCGAAUCUCGGAAAGCCGGUCUCAGUUCGGAUUGGGGUCUGCAACUCGACCUCAUGAAGUCGGAGUCGCUAGUAAUCGCAGAUCAGCAACGCUGCGGUGAAUACGUUCCCGGGGCU